CUACGGGUGGCUCCAGUGGGGAAUAUUGCACAAUGGGCGCAAGCCUGAUGCAGCCAUGCCGCGUGUAUGAAGAAGGCCUUCAGGUUGUAAAGUACUUUCAGCGGGGAGGAAGGGAGUAAAGUUAAUACCUUUGCUCAUUGACGUUACCCGCAGAAGAAGCACCGGCUAACUCCGUGCCAGUAGCCGCGGUAAUACGGAGGGUGCAAGCGUUAAUCGGAAUUACUGGGCGUAAAGCGCACGCAGGCGGUUUGUUAAGUCAGAUGUGAAAUCCCCGGGCUCAACCUGGGAACUGCAUCUGAUACUGGCAAGCUUGAGUCUCGUAGAGGGGGGUAGAAUUCCAGGUGUAGCGGUGAAAUGCGUAGAGAUCUGGAGGAAUACCGGUGGCGAAGGCGGCCCCCUGGACGAAGACUGACGCUCAGGUGCGAAAGCGUGGGGAGCAAACAGGAUUAGAUACCCUAGUAGUC
rnacentral:rRNA from 1 species